GUGUGUAGAGGAGGACAAUG
rnacentral:miRNA from 1 species